CUCGACAAGACAAUUAUUAAAGAUCCAUCCAUCACAAUCACGUUACCUUUAGCAGCACUGAGCUGCCCCCAAGUGGUGGUGCUAACCUGUCUAAGUUAUGUUCAGUCUUAUGCUCUUAUCCUACACUUCAAUUGAUAAUCGGUUUGUUUUGCAGGAAAAUGUGCCAUCCCUUACUGCAGGCAUCUCAAACUCCACUAGCUGUAUCUGAACUACAACCCAUUGUUU